AAGAAGCAGCAGGUGGUUGGUGGUUUGUCUGGACAGGUCUGACUAACUCCAGCAUGAUGGCGAGAUAAAGAAAAAGUCAAACCUCAACACAGCAGAGGACAUCCUUAGCUUCAGUUCCUCUGGAGUCGCGUCUGUUCCCAACCGUGUCUCUUUCAUCUAGCGGAGAGUCCCCUUCAGACCAACUCACCUGGAGUCCCAGCCUGAAGUACACACACAUGCUCAGUGCCUCUACGUGAACUGAUGAAGAGACGUCAGAGUGAGGGAGCUGCCCAUGGAAAGGCGCCCCGAGCAGUUGGGGAGCC